GAGAAACAUCUGACUGUGGCCACAAA
rnacentral:piRNA from 1 species